rnacentral:rRNA from 1 species
GACGAACGCUGGCGGCGUGCCUAAUACAUGCAAGUCAACUGAAGCAGUUGUAGCAAUAUGACAGUGGAGGUGGCGCACGGGUGAGUAACACGUAGGUAAUCUGCCUUCAGGACUGACACAACUCCGAGAAAUCGGAGCUAAUAUCAGAUAAUGCAGCGGCUUGGCAUCAAGACAGUUGUUAAAGCUUCGGCGCCUGGAGAUGAGCCUGCGCCCCAUUAGGUAGUUGGCGGAGUAAAAGCCCACCAAGCCUGCGAUGGGUAGCUGGUCUGAGAGGAUGAUCAGCCACACUGGAACUGAGACACGGUCCAGACUCCUACGGGAGGCAGCAGUAAGGAAUAUUGCUCAAUGGCCGAAAGGCUGAAGCAGCAACGCCGCGUGAGGGAUGAAGACCUUAUGGUUGUAAACCUCUGUAGAAGGGGAGAAAUUCUCCACUCUGUGGAGUUUGAUAGUAC